rnacentral:pre_miRNA from 1 species
AGGAGGAACAGCCCCAGUGGCGGGGCCAGCUCUGCAGCCCUGGAGUCAGCUCCCGCAGGAACUCCGGAGCUCUCCGUCUGCAGGGCCUGGAGGCUCCGGGGCGGG